rnacentral:rRNA from 1 species
UACGUAGGUGGCAAGCGUUGUCCGGAUUUUUUGGGUUUAAAGGGUGCGUAGGCGGUUAUAUAAGUCAGUGCUGAAAUAUCCCGGCUUAACCGGGAGGGUGGCAUUGAUACUGUAUGACUUGAGUAAAGUUGAGGUUGGCGGAAUUGACGGUGUAGCGGUGAAAUGCUUAGAUAUCGUCAAGAACACCGAUAGUGAAGACAGCUAACUAAGCUUUAACUGACGCUGAGGCACGAAAGUGUGGGGAUCAAACAGG